AGAAAGAGGAAGAGAGUGCGCGCUAGCCAGCGAAAGCUUCGCGAGCGAAAGGGAGAAAGGAAGGAGUAAAGGAAGACAGAACGUUUACGAACGCGAUAGAGAGAGUGUGCGCAAGGUACGAGGGAGAACGAGUGAGAAAGCCGGAGCGUUGCGUGGGGAGCGAUCGCAGCUCGUCAUUCGAAGCCCGCCAACGGACGAGCGAGCAGCGACGGCACGGGACUGCGAUUGAAAGUAUCCACGCGAUCUUCGCGAAAAUAAAGAGUACAGAUACAGGCUUACACCUGAGAUUAAAACAGGCGAAGAAUCACAUCGUGACAAAACAUCUAUUUAAACAGUAGUUACCAACUGUUUUGCGAUAGCAAAUCAAUCGCCGGUGUAACACGCUGGUUCGUACGGUCCACUCGAACGAAGCGCUCGUUCCUCGUUCGGUUCGCUUCGGUUACGAUCGUGUCGACCGCAGUGCUUACGGUGUUCGUCUCGCGUGUUUUCAUUUCAGAGAGGGAGAGUGACAGCGAAAAGAGUGGUGGAAAGAAAACAAAACUGUUGACGGUGAUUAAACGUGACUCCUGCAAACACAUCCUUAAAGGAUAUCUGUGCUGUGUGACAUUCUUCUCGUUCGAAAUAUCAGGAAAACGAGAAUUUGAUCCCACACAAGGACGAGUUGCAGAGAAGGAGCAGUGUAGUUUAUUCAUUAAACCACUAGGGUGCGUGUAUCGUAUGUGUGAUUGAAAUCAGUACCGGUACAACAGCAUUACGCGAGACAUUGAUAAUCGAAUUUGUGCUUCGAUCAGUGUUCGUUGUUGGUUAAAAAGUUCAUCGUGACUAUUUUUAUUCGUGGUCGGAUUGUGUUAUAGUGUCGUUUCGUGGUCGAUUUGAAACCGUUACAUUUUUUCGAAGUACAUCGAUGAAUCAUUGAUAUUUCGAACUAAAGCUGAUUCAAAUCAAUUGCAAAUCGUUCAUUUUAUGAGGUUGAGUGUAGAAGAAAUAUCAAAGUUACAAACAAUAACAGUACAAUUUGCCUAAAGUAAGUUAUAGAAUCAAAUUCUAGGAAUAUACAAAAAGAAAUAAACAUUCCAGAACGGAGACGCCAUUAAUCUAACAGACCUGAGGCUAUUGUAGCCAUUAUCUUGUAACGUACAUAUUCGAAAAAAUUGAAAUCUUGUUUCGCGCGCAAACGGAAUAUCAUAUUGGUUGCUUUCGAAAAAAGUUUGGAUUCUUCAAAUAUCUUUUUGAUCAACUACGAGAAAUAUACCAAUGUUUAUUCCAAUAUAUCGAUAGAAGAAAUAAUAAAAUUUCUGGUAUAUGAAAGAAAAUACGUUUGGAAGAAAAUUCAAUUGUAUAUUAUUCCUGUGGAAAACGAUCGAAAAAAAUAACUAAGGAUUGAUUUGUGAUUGAAGCUUUUCUUCACUGUUUUUACGAAAAUUUAAAAGAACUAUCAUCUUAAGAUAUAUAUUCCGAGUGUCAAUCAAUUUCGCCAUAACGUUACAAUCUCGACAUUGAAUUCAACAGUGACGCAGUAUUGAGGAAACCAAAGUUGCAUUUAGCAACUGAAAUUCAAUUCCAAUGUUUUUCGUGUGCUGUCUACUAAUUCGGCGUCGUGUUUCGUGACAUUAUAUUCGCGUGUGUGCUACAAAGGUGCUCGUGGACGAAUGAUUUAUCGUACUAUCACGUGAAAAAAUAUAUUCGUGUGUGCAAAGAAAGCUUUUUUCCCAGUUGGAUUACAACGAAGCAACGACAUUGUGUUCACUUCAUAGGAGUGGAAGGAUUUGUCGCGACCCCGUGAAUUUCGAAUUCGUCGUGUCGAUCGAGACAACAGACAACGCGUGGCCAAUUACUCGCAUCGUUACAAGCAUCAAUUGAUUAAUUAACACCUUAAUUAAUUCGUUCGAUCGGUUUUAACUUUUCGACACCGUUGCUGCUCUCGUGUCUACACUUUAACGUUUUCGUCCGUUUUCACGAAUUUAUCAAGAUCGUAUCGCGAUCGUAAUUGAUAGUAAUCGGAAUUUCUCUCAUUUUAUACGCCAACGCCGGAAAAUUGAUUACACGCGAUUCAACGUCGUGGCGAUUAAUUCCAGUUUUGAUUGUCAACGUUUUCUCGAGUUCGAUUUUCAUCGUAUAGGCAGGAUCUAUUCUAUAUAGAUCCUUUGUCCGAUUAAACCGGGAUUACGUGCUAGUUCGUGGAGGCAAUCGGUCUGUAAUUGUGCCACGCGUACGGUUAAUCGCUUGUCUACGCGAAGAACAAUAAACGGUGGUGUUUACGUGACGAAAGUGCAGACGCAGCCCACUCGGUCACUUGCAAAAAGUGACCCAUAGUUUUCUCCUGGAAGCGGUACACAAACGGCCUCAAGAUUCAGCUGGACAUCAUGCCUUGGUUCAUCCUAUUUCUUCUUCUGUUAGCUGUGAUGGAGGCCUUCCCUCGGGAGGCCACCUGUUCCCGCCUGCCGGACAUCUACUGGAACUCCACCAAUCCAAUGUGAGUAAGCAGCACCGAUUAUCACUUUUUCUCCCCGACAACGAGUAAUUAAGUCCGUGUACCAGUUUACCUCCGUCCUCGUCGCGUCCUUUAGCACGUAAGUGGCUCGGAGCUUGGCUCUCUCGAUUCUUUCCCAAGGCGUAGUCUCCGAUGCUGCGUGCUGCUAUCACCAACUAUAUUCUCGAGCAACCCAACCCAUCGGCUCGUUCACUUUAGCCCACCUUUUUCGAACGUCCCUACUCCCCUCUCGACUUCAUCUUUCCACCCCUCUCUCACUUAUCCAGCCGCACGUUCAACCCCUCUCGAAAGUCUGGCCAUAGUCGACCGGUAAGUUUACCUUUCAAUUAAUCGACCGCCAUACCGAGACCAAGCUAACUGCCAACUAUCCGCCCAUUAUCCGCUGGAAGAGUAAUUGGGAUCGAAAUUCGGCAGGCCUUCCUGGCUGCGUACGUAUAAAUCGCGAAUAAGAUCGAGAAGCGCGAUAUUUCUGCGUUCUUCUUGAUCCAAGAUUCAUUUUCAAUCCUCUUUGAAAUCCUCUCGAUCUUAAUUUCGAUCCCUCCGCGCGCACAGUCUGUCCUCGUUUCUCGUAGUUCUUUUUUUUUUUUUUCUUUUUUUUUACGACGGCAGAACGAUAACAACAAUGGCGGGUGGCGAAACGAGGUUAACGAGGAUGGCGUAAUGUUACGCGAUUAAAGUAGCCGUAGUUUUUUUUUAGUUAGUUGAAGUUCAUUAAGGAAAUGGAAAUUUGAUCAAGUUCGGGGACGUUAAUCGUGUCGGUGUCCCGAAAAUUCUUUUUCCGCUGGGCGAAAUGAACUUUCGACCAAGAAAGUAUUAAUUAUUUCGC